rnacentral:lncRNA from 1 species
UCGAAAUGAUAUGAGUUGACCUACUUGUUCGACACCAUUCACUUCAAUUAUGUUGCCAUCUUCACUCUAAACCAUAAAUUUCUUUUUACGAAAUUCUAGAAUCACCCCGUGCUCAAUAAGCCAAUCCACUCUCAAAAUUAAAUCAAAGUCGCCAAAUGGCAUUAUCAACAAAUCAACAGGGAAUGUUAUAUUUUAUAUUUCCAACGGGCAUCGCCUACACACCUGAUCCACUAUUACGGACUGUCCUAAAGGACUUGACACAAGUAUAGAUACUUUAGACGUCUCAGCUAUUAAACUUUCUGAUUUAACUAAUUCAGUAUUAACAUAUGAG